rnacentral:rRNA from 1 species
GAUGAACGCUGGCGGCGUGCCUAAUACAUGCAAGUCGAGCGAACAGACGAGGAGCUUGCUCCUCUGACGUUAGCGGCGGACGGGUGAGUAACACGUGGAUAACCUACCUAUAAGACUGGGAUAACUUCGGGAAACCGGAGCUAAUACCGGAUAAUAUAUUGAACCGCAUGGUUCAAUAGUGAAAGACGGUUUUGCUGUCACUUAUAGAUGGAUCCGCGCCGCAUUAGCUAGUUGGUAAGGUAACGGCUUACCAAGGCAACGAUGCGUAGCCGACCUGAGAGGGUGGUCGGCCACACUGGAAACGGGACCAGGUCCAGACCCCUACGGGGGGGAGCCGUAGGGAAUUUUCCGCAAUGGGCGAAAGGCUGACGGAGCAACGCCGCGUGGGGGAUGAAGGUUCUCGGAUUGUAAAACUCUGUUUUUUGGGAAAAAAAAAUGUGUAAGUAAAUAUGCACGUUUUGACGGUACCCUAACAAAAAGCCACGGCUAACCAAG